GACAGAGGGUGCGAACGUUGCUCGGAAUCACUGGGCGUAAAGCGCGUGUAGGCGGCCAGGUAGGUCCGUUGUGAAAACCCGAGGCUUAACCUCGGGACGCCGACGGAAACCAUCUGGCUAGGGUCCGGAAGAGGAGAGUGGAAUUCCCGGUGUAGCGGUGAAAUGCGCAGAUAUCGGGAAGAACACCCGUGGCGAAGGCGGCUCUCUGGGACGGUACCGACGCUGAGACGCGAAAGCGUGGGGAGCGAACAGG
rnacentral:rRNA from 1 species